rnacentral:lncRNA from 1 species
UCGACGUCGACGUGAGCAAGCUGAUCUGGACACCGUACAAAGAGCAAGGCUAAGCAAAGCACAUCUGCCAUGCGGCCAUGCCAUGUCGAAUUAGAUAAGCUGACCAAUCGAGUCGUGUAUAUUUUAGGAACUCCUUCCUUCCCCGUCCCUCGUGCAGUGACUCUACUAGUCUCUUUUUUCCGAACUGUGACUGUAGUGGUCUUGUGUAACAUCAGAUUGUUGCGUCUCUCUGCACAUUGUUUGCCAAGCUUUCCUAUUAAUAACUAUGUCACCUGUACUGUAUUUGUGGUCUUCCUGCUCGUAUAAUUGGAUGGAGAAGCAAGCAGCACA